rnacentral:rRNA from 1 species
GACGAACGCUGGCGGCGUGCUUAACACAUGCAAGUCGAACGGUAAGGCCCCUUCGGGGGUACACGAGUGGCGAACGGGUGCGUAACACGUGGGUGAUCUGCCCUGCACUUCGGGAUAAGCCUGGGAAACUGGGUCUAAUACCGGAUAGGACCACGCUCUGCAUGGAGUGUGGUGGAAAGCUGUUGCGGUGUGGGAUGGGCCCGCGGCCUAUCAGCUUGUUGGUGGGGUGAUGGCCUACCAAGGCGACGACGGGUAGCCGGCCUGAGAGGGUGUCCGGCCACACUGGGACUGAGAUACGGCCCAGACUCCUACGGGAGGCAGCAGUGGGGAAUAUUGCACAAUGGGCGCAAGCCUGAUGCAGCGACGCCGCGUGGGGGAUGACGGCCUUCGGGUUGUAAACCUCUUUCAGUACCGACGAAGCGCAAGUGACGGUAGGUACAGAAGAAGCACCGGCCAACUACGUG